rnacentral:rRNA from 1 species
AGUGAACGCUGGCGGUAGGCCUAACACAUGCAAGUCGAACGGCAGCACAGUAAGAGCUUGCUCUUACGGGUGGCGAGUGGCGGACGGGUGGGGAAUACAUCGGAAUCUACUUUUUCGUGGGGGAUAACGUAGGGAAACUUACGCUAAUACCGCAUACGACCUACGGGUGAAAUCAGGGGAUCUUCGGACCUUGCGCGAUUGAAUGAGCCGAUGUCGGAUUAGCUAGUUGGCGGGGUAAAGGCCCACCAAGGCGACGAUCCGUAGCUGGUCUGAGAGGAUGAUCAGCCACACUGGAACUGCGACACGGUCCAGACUCCUACGGGAGGCAGCAGUGGGGAAUAUUGGACAAUGGGCGCAAGCCUGCUCCAGCCAUACCGCGUGGGUGAAGAAGGCCUUCGGGUUGUAAAGCCCUUUUGUUGGGAAAGAAAAGCAGCAGGUUAAUACCCCGCUGUUCUGACGGUACCCAAAGAAUAAGCACCGGCUAACUUCGUG